CCUACGGGCGGCAGCAGUGGGGGAUAUUGCACAAUGGGGGAAACCCUGAUGCAGCAACGCCGCGUGAGUGAAGAAGUAUUUCGGUAUGUAAAGCUCUAUCAGCAGGGAAGAAAAUGACAGUACCUGACUAAGAAGCCCCGGCUAACUACGUGCCAGCAGCCGCGGUAAUACGUAGGGGGCAAGCGUUAUCCGGAUUUACUGGGUGGAAAGGGAGCGUAGACGGUUAUGCAAGUCUGGAGUGAAAGCCCGGGGCCCAACCCCGGGACUGCUUUGGAAACUGUGUAACUAGAGUGCAGGAGGGGCAAGUGGAAUUCCUGGUGUAGCGGUGAAAUGCGUAGAUAUCAGGAGGAACACCAGCGGCGAAGGCGGCCUACUGGACUGAAACUGACGUUGAGGCUCGAAAGCGUGGGGAGCAAACAGGAUUAGAUACCCCUGUAGUC
rnacentral:rRNA from 1 species